rnacentral:rRNA from 1 species
CUUUAACUCUGUCGGCAGGCCUAACACAUGCAAGUCGAGCGGAUGAAGGGAGCUUGCUCCUGGAUUCAGCGGCGGACGGGUGAGUAAUGCCUAGGAAUCUGCCUGGUAGUGGGGGAUAACGUCCGGAAACGGGCGCUAAUACCGCAUACGUCCUGAGGGAGAAAGUGGGGGAUCUUCGGACCUCACGCUAUCAGAUGAGCCUAGGUCGGAUUAGCUAGUUGGUGGGGUAAAGGCCUACCAAGGCGACGAUCCGUAACUGGUCUGAGAGGAUGAUCAGUCACACUGGAACUGAGACACGGUCCAGACUCCUACGGGAGGCAGCAGUGGGGAAUAUUGGACAAUGGGCGAAAGCCUGAUCCAGCCAUGCCGCGUGUGUGAAGAAGGUCUUCGGAUUGUAAAGCACUUUAAGUUGGGAGGAAGGGCAGUAAGUUAAUACCUUGCUGUUUUGACGUUACCAACAGAAUAAGCACCGGCUAACUUCGUG